UAGUCCACGCCCUAAACGAUGUAUACUCGAUGUUUGGAUUUAUUUCUGGGCAUCCAAGGGAAACCAUUAAGUAUACCACCUGGGGAGUACGUCGGCAACGAUGAAACUCAAAGGAAUUGACGGGGGCCCGCACAAGCGGUGGAGCAUGUGGUUUAAUUCGAUGAUACGCGAGGAACCUUACCAGGGCUUAAAUGUAAGUUGCAUUAGUUAGAGAUAGCUAUUUCUUCGGACUACUUACAAGGUGCUGCAUGGUUGUCGUCAGCUCGUGCCGUGAGGUGUCAGGUUAAGUCCUAUAACGAGCGCAACCCCUGUUGUUAGUUGCCAGCAUGUAAAGAUGGGAACUCUAACAAGACUGCCGGUGCAAACCGUGAGGAAGGUGGGGAUGACGUCAAAUCAUCACGGCCCUUACGUCCUGGGCUACACACGUGCUACAAUGGUAGGUACAGAGGGCAGCCACACCGCGAGGUGGAGCGAAUCCUUAAAGCCUAUCUCAGUUCGGAUCGGAGUCUGC
rnacentral:rRNA from 1 species